CUUUCGUCUUUCUCAGCUGAGAAAUGCUUUAUUUUUUCCAUGUAUGCCUGACCUCUCUUUGUGCCACUGUAUUUCUCCAGCACCACCAAGAUCUCGAUUCAGUUUCAUUUAUGAGUGUAAUUAAUAUGAUCUUUGCCCAUUAUAAGGGUUAUUAAUAAUACGGUUAAAUAAAAACCUUAUAACAGCACCCCCACUGAAUCACUCCACACAAGUCAGCUUAUUGCAGAAUAACAGUUCAUUUUAUUUACGGUCUCUCAACCAAUUUUCAGCACAUGUGACAGUGGCCAUGUUAAUAUGAAUAAGAUUUGAAAUAAGGUUUUCUGAAACUGUAUCACAGGUUUCAUAUUCCUUUUAGUCACCGGUUUUGAUCAAAAGGUUGAUAAGUUUGACUGCUGUGGUUCAGUCUUCAAUUUUGGAAGUUACUGUUAUUAGCUAGAGGAAAAAAAAUGAUUAGGCUAUUCAUAGUACCAGAAGAUUGAUUUCUCUAAGUAAAAGCCAUAGGAACACAGACUUUUAAAAAUAAUAAGCAUUCAUUGUAAAAUCAUAUACAUUUAAUAAUAUGCCUAGUUUCCAUAUUUAUGGUCCUGUUUCACUAAGUUAUCAUCAAAAUUUAUGAAUAUGUCCACGUAAUGCAAGUAUUUGUAUUCAAGUAACAGAAAGGAGGAAAAGUGCUUAUUUAUAGCUUCUUGUUUAUAGUACCUGCCUUUCUCUCAUACAUUGCUACUUGCAAUCUAAUGAAUGAUGCAUUUCUCACCCACACCAAACUUUCCUAUAAUCAUCAAAUUCUAUAACUAUUUUACAUGAUGCUACAUUGGAAUGCUUAUUUUGAAUACAUGUUAAGGGAAAUUAACUCAAGGAAAGACAAGCACUUGAUUUUCUUUUUCUUGCUUUUCAGUUAAGUACAGACAAGGAAUGUAAUGAAUGAAUCAACAGUACAUAUUUUGAUGAAAGCAAUGUUGAGCAUACAAAACACUGCACAUUCAAGAAAAGCCUUGCAUUUUUCCUAACUCAUAACAUUGAAAAUGAGAUUCACAAUCUUGUUAGUGUCAGACUAUAAUCAUUCACAUUGCUCUACAAAUCAAAAUAAUAUUUUUAAAAGAGCAGCACUGCACUUUCAAUGUUAAAGUUUUAUGUUGUUUUGUGUUUUAUGAAUGAAAUUUUACUCAAGAAGAUCCUCAAAGGGAUGUGAGAGACAUUGAGGCUUUGUUAGUCAAGAACAGAACAUGAGAAGGUACUCUUAGAUAGUGCAUGCAAGUUGGUCUCUUGAUACCAUUU
rnacentral:lncRNA from 10 species